rnacentral:lncRNA from 1 species
CACGGCUCGUGGGCGGCGGCGUCCAGGCCAGGCUCACGCCUCCGCGACCGUGUAGCUCGGCAGCCUGGGUGAGUCGCCGCUCCCUCACCCUUGGGAUCUCCUCUAGGCGCAGCCACACAGCAGUCCCGCACCUUCUCUUCCCCGCCCCCCGGCCACCUUCCGCCCACGCGAGGGCGACGCCCUGUCUCCCAGCCACCCCUCGCCUUCUUGGCUCGGACCCCCGGAGACCACGGCUGUCGCCCGUCCGCCCGCGAGGGCUGGGGGCGGCAGGCGUCUUUGUUCACGAGGGGCCCCUCCCGCGUGGUGUCACACUCUCCCCCCCCCAUCGGCGCUCACCACGGCCAGGUGGCGGCGGGUGCCUUUUGGGGUGCGCGGCUGUGCCAUUGGUGGAUUUUUUUAAACCCUGCUGGAGGGGGCGGCGAGCGCACCGCACUACCGGCUGCUGCUCCCGCCGCUCCCGCUCUCCCGCCGCUCCUCUCUGCGGCUACUGCGCGCCUCGCCCCGGGCGGCCCAGCGCGCUCCUCCGACGCCGAGAUGAAGGUGCUGGGACACAGGCUCCAACUGCUGACAGG